UGGAGGAAGCCACUUCGGUGGCAGGAAGACAGGUGGUGCAUGGUUGUCGUCAGCUCGUGUCGUGAGAUGUUGGGUUAAGUCCCGCAACGAGCGCAACCCUUAUUGUUAGUUGCUACCAUUUAGUUGAGCACUCUAGCGAGACUGCCCGGGUUAACCGGGAGGAAGGUGGGGAUGACGUCAAAUCAUCAUGCCCCUUAUGUCUAGGGCUACACACGUGCUACAAUGGUCGGUACAAUGAGAUGCAACCUCGCGAGAGUGAGCAAAACUAUAAAACCGAUCUCAGUUCGGAUUGUAGGCUGAAACUCGCCUACAUGAAGCUGGAGUUGCUAGUAAUCGCGAAUCAGAAUGUCGCGGUGAAUACGUUCCCGGGCCUU
rnacentral:rRNA from 1 species